CAGAGUUUAACCACUCAAAACCAUUGUGAACCUUACCUCAACCGUUGCUUCGGCGGGCGGGCCCCAAAAGCCCCCCCGGCCCCUCGCGGGCGCCCGCCGGAGGUAAAUCGAACCCUUGAAUUGUAUGGCCUCUCUGAGUCUUUGUACUUAAUAAGUCA
rnacentral:misc_RNA from 1 species